rnacentral:rRNA from 1 species
CUACGGGAGGCAGCAGCCGAGAAUCUUCCACAAUGGACUAACGUCUGAUGGAGCGACGCCGCGUGCGGGAAGAAAGUCUUCGGACUGUAAACCGCUUUUAUAGGGGAGCAAUUUUUGAGCGUACCCUAUGAAUAAGAGGUUGCUAACUCUGUGCCAGCAGCCGCGGUAAUACAGAGACCUCAAGCGUUAUCCGGAUUUAUUGGGCGUAAAGGGUCCGUAGGGGGUUUAAUAAGCUGAAUGUAAAAUCUCUCAGCCUAACUGAGAGAGCGCAUUCAGAACUAUUAGACUAGAGCACAUCAGAGGCCAUUGGAACUCACGGUGUAGGGGUGGAAUCCGUUGAUAUCGUGGGGAACACCAAAGGCGAAGGCAUUUGGCUGGGGUGUUGCUGACCCUGAGGGACGAAAGCUAGGGUAGCGAAUGGGAUUAGAUACCCGGGUAGUC